UUCACUCAAAUCGUCAAUGAAUAUCGGACUGCCAUAAUGAAACUACGCGUAUUCGUUGUUUUACCUUUGUUAACGAUUUUUAGCGUGAAUUUAGUAGAACCUACGGUGCAGGAGAAUUUGUCCAGCUUUUUCGGGAGCCUUUCAGGCAUUACACAUGUAAGGAUCCCUGAAUUAUUGAAUCAAUUGUGCAACGAAUCUCAAGGACCAAAUACUAUUCUACGUGAUGCCUGCUACGGCUGUUUCUACAGGGUCACAAAUCAACCAGUCAGCUUUUCUCUAUUAUCGGCAAUCUCCGAUUGUGGGAAUAUUUAUCUCAACGGUACCGAUUACAGUCAUUGUCAGCAGUACCUGACCAAUGCAACAAAUUCAGCAAACUCGAAGACGAAUCCUACUACGAUAUACUGCACAUUUUUGGAGUGCAUUCGACAAGCAAACAAGGACAAUUUGGACGCGUUGCGAGUUGAACCAGAAAUUGCAGGGAAUUCGAGGAAGACGAUCAGAAAAUCUUUCGCAUAUUUAAAAUUAUACAAGCAAGUAGCGAGAAGUGUUUGCAUCAUACGAGAACAGGAUCCAGAAUCAAACACGGUCAGACCAGGAGCGGAACCGAUCAACCCAAGGGGAGCAAUAAAUAAACCAUAAACAACAAUGCCAUAACGUGUAUAUAGAAUGUAUAAAGAUUUUGUGCAUAAUGUUAAAUGCUUCGAGAUAACUUGAGGAUAAGCUCAGGGAAUGCGUCGACGAAGCCAUAAGUGUGUUUCCCAAUUUUACCACCACGGACGUCAAAUUGGCUCAAUUAUUCACGAACACCAC
rnacentral:misc_RNA from 1 species